GGGUUGUGAGGUUAAGCGACUAAGCGUACACGGUGGAUGCCCUGGCAGUCAGAGGCGAUGAAGGACGUGCUAAUCUGCGAUAAGCGUCGGUAAGGUGAUAUGAACCGUUAUAACCGGCGAUUUCCGAAUGGGGAAACCCAGUGUGUUUCGACACACUAUCAUUAACUGAAUCCAUAGGUUAAUGAGGCGAACCGGGGGAACUGAAACAUCUAAGUACCCCGAGGAAAAGAAAUCAACCGAGAUUCCCCCAGUAGCGGCGAGCGAACGGGGAGGAGCCCAGAGCCUGAAUCAGUGUGUGUGUUAGUGGAAGCGUCUGGAAAGGCGCGCGAUACAGGGUGACAGCCCCGUACACAAAAAUGCACAUGCUGUGAGCUCGAUGAGUAGGGCGGGACACGUGGUAUCCUGUCUGAAUAUGGGGGGACCAUCCUCCAAGGCUAAAUACUCCUGACUGACCGAUAGUGAACCAGUACCGUGAGGGAAAGGCGAAAAGAACCCCGGCGAGGGGAGUGAAAAAGAACCUGAAACCGUGUACGUACAAGCAGUGGGAGCACGCUUAGGCGUGUGACUGCGUACCUUUUGUAUAAUGGGUCAGCGACUUAUAUUCUGUAGCAAGGUUAACCGAAUAGGGGAGCCGAAGGGAAACCGAGUCUUAACUGGGCGUUAAGUUGCAGGGUAUAGACCCGAAACCCGGUGAUCUAGCCAUGGGCAGGUUGAAGGUUGGGUAACACUAACUGGAGGACCGAACCGACUAAUGUUGAAAAAUUAGCGGAUGACUUGUGGCUGGGGGUGAAAGGCCAAUCAAACCGGGAGAUAGCUGGUUCUCCCCGAAAGCUAUUUAGGUAGCGCCUCGUGAAUUCAUCUCCGGGGGUAGAGCACUGUUUCGGCAAGGGGGUCAUCCCGACUUACCAACCCGAUGCAAACUGCGAAUACCGGAGAAUGUUAUCACGGGAGACACACGGCGGGUGCUAACGUCCGUCGUGAAGAGGGAAACAACCCAGACCGCCAGCUAAGGUCCCAAAGUCAUGGUUAAGUGGGAAACGAUGUGGGAAGGCCCAGACAGCCAGGAUGUUGGCUUAGAAGCAGCCAUCAUUUAAAGAAAGCGUAAUAGCUCACUGGUCGAGUCGGCCUGCGCGGAAGAUGUAACGGGGCUAAACCAUGCACCGAAGCUGCGGCAGCGACGCUUAUGCGUUGUUGGGUAGGGGAGCGUUCUGUAAGCCUGUGAAGGUGUGCUGUGAGGCAUGCUGGAGGUAUCAGAAGUGCGAAUGCUGACAUAAGUAACGAUAAAGCGGGUGAAAAGCCCGCUCGCCGGAAGACCAAGGGUUCCUGUCCAACGUUAAUCGGGGCAGGGUGAGUCGACCCCUAAGGCGAGGCCGAAAGGCGUAGUCGAUGGGAAACAGGUUAAUAUUCCUGUACUUGGUGUUACUGCGAAGGGGGGACGGAGAAGGCUAUGUUGGCCGGGCGACGGUUGUCCCGGUUUAAGCGUGUAGGCUGGUUUUCCAGGCAAAUCCGGAAAAUCAAGGCUGAGGCGUGAUGACGAGGCACUACGGUGCUGAAGCAACAAAUGCCCUGCUUCCAGGAAAAGCCUCUAAGCAUCAGGUAACAUCAAAUCGUACCCCAAACCGACACAGGUGGUCAGGUAGAGAAUACCAAGGCGCUUGAGAGAACUCGGGUGAAGGAACUAGGCAAAAUGGUGCCGUAACUUCGGGAGAAGGCACGCUGAUAUGUAGGUGAAGUCCCUCGCGGAUGGAGCUGAAAUCAGUCGAAGAUACCAGCUGGCUGCAACUGUUUAUUAAAAACACAGCACUGUGCAAACACGAAAGUGGACGUAUACGGUGUGACGCCUGCCCGGUGCCGGAAGGUUAAUUGAUGGGGUCAGCGCAAGCGAAGCUCUUGAUCGAAGCCCCGGUAAACGGCGGCCGUAACUAUAACGGUCCUAAGGUAGCGAAAUUCCUUGUCGGGUAAGUUCCGACCUGCACGAAUGGCGUAAUGAUGGCCAGGCUGUCUCCACCCGAGACUCAGUGAAAUUGAACUCGCUGUGAAGAUGCAGUGUACCCGCGGCAAGACGGAAAGACCCCGUGAACCUUUACUAUAGCUUGACACUGAACAUUGAGCCUUGAUGUGUAGGAUAGGUGGGAGGCUUUGAAGUGUGGACGCCAGUCUGCAUGGAGCCGACCUUGAAAUACCACCCUUUAAUGUUUGAUGUUCUAACGUUGACCCGUAAUCCGGGUUGCGGACAGUGUCUGGUGGGUAGUUUGACUGGGGCGGUCUCCUCCUAAAGAGUAACGGAGGAGCACGAAGGUUGGCUAAUCCUGGUCGGACAUCAGGAGGUUAGUGCAAUGGCAUAAGCCAGCUUGACUGCGAGCGUGACGGCGCGAGCAGGUGCGAAAGCAGGUCAUAGUGAUCCGGUGGUUCUGAAUGGAAGGGCCAUCGCUCAACGGAUAAAAGGUACUCCGGGGAUAACAGGCUGAUACCGCCCAAGAGUUCAUAUCGACGGCGGUGUUUGGCACCUCGAUGUCGGCUCAUCACAUCCUGGGGCUGAAGUAGGUCCCAAGGGUAUGGCUGUUCGCCAUUUAAAGUGGUACGCGAGCUGGGUUUAGAACGUCGUGAGACAGUUCGGUCCCUAUCUGCCGUGGGCGCUGGAGAACUGAGGGGGGCUGCUCCUAGUACGAGAGGACCGGAGUGGACGCAUCACUGGUGUUCGGGUUGUCAUGCCAAUGGCACUGCCCGGUAGCUAAAUGCGGAAGAGAUAAGUGCUGAAAGCAUCUAAGCACGAAACUUGCCCCGAGAUGAGUUCUCCCUGACCCUUUAAGGGUCCUGAAGGAACGUUGAAGACGACGACGUUGAUAGGCCGGGUGUGUAAGCGCAGCGAUGCGUUGAGCUAACCGGUACUAAUGAACCGUGAGGCUUAACCUUACAACGCCGAAGCUGUU
rnacentral:rRNA from 1 species